rnacentral:rRNA from 1 species
AGACAGCAGCAGCCGCGGGAAUACAGAGGGUGCAAGCGUUAAUCGGAUUUACUGGGCGUGAAGGGCGCGUAGGUGGUUAUUUAAGUGAGAUGUGAAAGCCCCGGGCUUAACCUGGGAACUGCAUCUUAUACUGGGUAACUGGAGUGCAGUAGAGGGUAGUGGGAUUUCCGGUGUAGCGGUGAAAUGCGUAGAUAUCGGAAGGAACACCAGUGGCGAAGGCGGCUACCUGGACUGAGACUGACACUGAGGCGCGAGAGCGUGGGGAGCAAACAGGAUUAGAUACCCGUGUAGUCCCUGUCUCUUAUAC